rnacentral:rRNA from 1 species
UACGUAGGCAGCAAGCGUUGUUCGGAGUUACUGGGCGUAAAGGGUGUGUAGACGGUUAUUUAAGUUUGGUGUGAAAUCUCCCGGCUCAACCGGGAGGGUGCGCCGAAUACUGAAUGACUUGGAGUGCGGGAGAGGAAAGUGGAAUUCCUGGUGUAGCGGUGAAAUGCGUAGAUAUCAGGAGGAACACCGGUGGUGUAGACGGCUUUCUGGACCGUAACUGACGCUGAGACACGAAAGCGUGGGUAGCAAACAGG